rnacentral:rRNA from 1 species
AACCUGCCAUCCGUGUCUAUUGUACCCUGUUGCUUCGGCGGGCCCGCCGCUUGUCGGCCGCCGGGGGGGCGCCUCUGCCCCCCGGGCCCGUGCCCGCCGGAGACCCCAACACGAACACUGUCUGAAAGCGUGCAGUCUGAGUUGAUUGAAUGCAAUCAGUUAAAACUUUCAACAAUGGAUCUCUUGGUUCCGGCAUCGAUGAAGAACGCAGCGAAAUGCGAUAACUAAUGUGAAUUGCAGAAUUCAGUGAAUCAUCGAGUCUUUGAACGCACAUUGCGCCCCCUGGUAUUCCGGGGGGCAUGCCUGUCCGACCGUCAUUGCUGCCCUCAAGCCCGGCUUGUGUGUUGGGUCGCCGUCCCCCUCUCCGGGGGGACGGGCCCGAAAGGCAGCGGCGGCACCGCGUCCGAUCCUCGAGCGUAUGGGGCUUUGUCACAUGCUCUGUAGGAUUGGCCGGCGCCUGCCGACGUUUUCCAACCAUUCUUUCCAGGUUGACGUCGGAUCAGGUAGGGAUACCCGCUCGAAUUAAGCAUAUCAAAAG